GAUGGUAUUUAAGAUAGCAGAUCCAUCAACUCCUCAAACAGUGGUUGAUCCUGUUAUUUCUGUCUCAUCUGAUCGCCUUGUCACUUCUUACUGUGUGAAUCUGAAUCAUCAGAUCAUCUGUGAUUCUGCUGAUGGACUUCAUUACAGUCAUGAGCUCAUGUUCAGAGUGAGGAAUGAAACUGCAAAGAUUCCAAGCUCAAAUAUUCUGAAUGAAGUGACUCCAGAUCUCCUGCACUCAGAUCAGUUGUGGUGGUUUUCUGUCCUGAUCUUCAUUGUUCUGGCAUUUCUAUGUUUCUUGAUGCGUAAAAGGAUUUUCAGGUGUUUUCAGAGGGAAGCUUGGUUCAUCUGUCAGCAUGAGGAUUCAGAAAACAGGGAUCCUCAAUCUGAUGAAGAUCUGAUCUGAUCAUCCUCAUUCAUGGCAGUUUAAUUCCCUUCGUGUUCAAAGGAUGAUCAUCAUCAUCAUCAUCAUCAUCAUCACAGUCAUGUACUCAAACUCAAGGCUGAAUGUCACUGUGAUGUUCAACAUGAUCAGGGGAGUUCUGAACCAUUCUUAACUUGUUUAAACACUUAACAGCCUAUUUUCAUGCAUUUCAAUCCCUCCCCAGCAGGCACACAAUGUCAUAAGACAUUGGUAUUUGGUUACAUUUCGGUUGCGACAUCGGGUGACCAAAAUACAAUGUAAAUUCAAAGUCCUAAUGCCAAUUUGAUGUCCAAUGCCGACGUCAGCUGACCUUGAUAUUUGUUGUUUUUAGGUUGUGUAACCAAAAGUCAAUGUCAAAUCGGCAUCAAAUACUGACGUCAACUCGAUUUUCAUUCUCAACCAAAAUGCAAUAUCUGUCCAACGUCAAUCUGACAUUAUAUUGAUGUCUUGUGCCUACUGGGUCCAGUUUUUCACUGUUCUGUAAUCACUGAAAUUAAUGUAAACAUAGACAAACAAAAUGAAGCAAGCUAAGUGAUAAUUGUUCAAUAUGGCUGGGUGGUAUGACAGGAUAAAGUGUCAUUUGAUUUUCAUUUAUAUCAGGCUAUGUAGCCUAUAUCUGCAGAGCUUUGCAGGCAUAAAUUUAGCAACUCGUUAGAGUUAUUAAGAAACAUGGAUGAAUGACAAAAAAGUAUGAAAUGCUUGAUAGAGCAGUAUAUUGUGAAACAGAGCUUGUGACUGACAUCAUACUGACAGACAUAAGACUGACAUUCAGUUUUUUAGGUUUAUUAUACUUGAAAGGUUAAAUACACACAGUCAUGCCAAAAUGUGAGCAUGUGUGAGUAUUCAUGUAAACACAAUCGAUUAUGUUUUAAAUGAACAAAAGUUUAGGGAAAAACCGUUUGAGAAGUGUGCCAAUAUUGUAUCCACACAUUAUUGCUGUAGGUCUUAAAGUGUCUAUUAUUUACACACUGCUGCCGUUGAUGCCAAAAUAAAACCCAAAUUUUAUGCUUUUUGUUUGCUUUUACUUUGUGUCAUGCGUGACUAUUGAUCUUUUAACAUAAAACAUAAAAUAUUAUAUGUGAUAUCCUAAUUGAAAAAUGCUCUUUAUUUCAACAGAUUCAUAUCGUUAUGGUUUCUAUGUGAAGAAAUAUAUAUAUAUAUAUAUAUAUAGAGAGAGAGAGAGAGAGAGAGAGAGAGAGAGAGAGAGAGAGUUUCUCAGUUCAUGACCCCUUUAAAGUGCCCCUAUUAUGGAUUUUUGAAAAUUACCCUUUAUGCAGUGUGUAACACAGCUCUUAUUGAAUGAAAACAUUGUGCAAAGUUUUUAAAUCUGAAAGUGCACCAUGUAUAAAGUUAUUGUCUCUCUACAAAAAAAAAAAAAAAAGUCGCCUCCGAAUCAUUUAAACGAGUCGUUUUUAAAACGAAUCCCAAGCCAUUUCAUGUCAACAUAAAACAUUAGCAUAUUUCCCGCCCACUUGUUGGUCUUUUCACAUUGGUUUGAAUGAAAAUGCAAAUUCCUUCUUUGCCACUAGGUGCAGCUUUUAGAGCGGUAAAAAUAGCGGUUUCCUCGUAAUGCUGUACACAAAGCAACACUGCACUCACACAGCCUGCUUUAUCAGGUGUUACAGGAAUGAUGAAAGGGGAAUGAGACCAAUAGGGCAAAUCAUGGCAGAUUAGCCUCACACAAAGUAGGUAGUUUAAAAAAAAAUAAUAAUUGUGUGAAUUGUUUGGGAGUCAUUGAGCAAGUAAGGUAAAAAUAAAUGCAUAUUAUAAGACAAUGAAAGUGUUUUUACGGGUUACGGGAAAGUUAAGUAACCGAGAACGUUUUAUUAUGGCAGUAAUAAAAUACAAUCUUCUAAAUCAUCUUAAUCAGAAAUCGAUCUGUUUAAUAAAGAACAAUUUUAAAUAUCAUUAUUAAGCAUUACUUCUCAAUUUUCCAGGUUUUUUAUGACACAAAAUAAUGAACCCGUAGUGUCAUGUGAAAUAUCUUCUGGAUGAUUUAAAGUGCCCCUAUUAUGAGUUCUAAUAGGUUCAUAUUUUGGUUUUGGGAGUCCCCAAUAACAGGUUGACAUGCAUGCAAGGUCAAAAAAACACUUCAGCUCCGGGUCACAGUACAAAAUACUGCGAACACGUGAUGCCUUCAGUAAAUGAAGAUUAUGCGCUACAGCACCACAACCAUAGACUCCAACACAACACAACACAGACCUCAAGCAACAAGCAAAGGAGAAGCGCGAAAAAUCAAAGAAAAUCUCGGCAUUCCACAGGAAAGGUUGACUGACGCCGUUAUAUUUUUAACGUUUGUUUUUACGUUAGCUAGCAACCAAUUUCAUUCUGAGGUUAUGGGGAAAUGUAAAUUUAAUGAAGCUUGGCUGGAUAAAAACUCUUUUCGUCAUUGGUUAAAACCAGUGGACAACAACGUUUUUGAGGCUUUUUUCAGCUAGGUACAAUGGGAAUGAAGGCAUUAGAGUCUCAUGCCAAGUCGUCCAAGCACAAUGGACAAAAACAAACUCCUUUCAUCGCCUGCAUGUUUCAACCAACUAAUGUUAGCCAGCUAGCUGCUAAUGUGCCUGAAGCGGCAGCAGGAGCUAAUGUUAGCCAGCUUGCUGCUAGCGCUGCAGACCCUCCAGCUAUGACCUCAACUAGAGUGGAUCUGCGCACAGCUUUUGGGUCCACACCAACAAUGAAAGCCGAGGUGUUGUGGACUCUUAACACAAUCGCUAAACACCAGUCCUACAGUGGAAAUGAGGGUAUCUCAGAGCUUUUCAAGUGCAUGUUCCCUGACUCCGACAUUGCUAAAACGUUUACUUGCGGUUAGGGAUAUGCCGGUAUCAAAUUUUCCUGUUGCGAUUAAUUGAUAAUGCUUUUGUCACGGUAUACGGUAUUAUCACAGUAUUGAAAUUUAGUUUAAAAAAAGUGGUCAUAAUACAGUAUAACAGGUUAAAUAACUUUUUUCUUAUAAAAAAAAAAAAUAACUGAACAUUUAAAUACAAUAAAGCAAUACAGAAAAAAAUAUAUAUAAAGUUAAAAGUUUUACACAUUAAAGUGCAAAAGAACUAUAAAGAGCAAUAGGUAUCACUUUACAAUAAGACCUCAUUAGUUAACCUUAGUUAAUGCAUUAACAUUCAAGGCAAGGCAAGUUUAUUUAUAUAACACAUUUUGUACACAAUGGUAAUUCAAAGUGCUUUACAUAAAAGAAAGUAAAAAAAGAAUUUAAGACAGUUUAAAAAUAGAAAAUGAUUUUACAUAAAAUACAGUGCAAUACAUUAAAUAUAGUGUAAUCAGUUUGUACAUCGCAUAGUGCUCAUUCAAUAAAUGCACAGCUAAAAAAUGAGCAAUAGCUACAUUUGCUAUAGAAGCUAUUAAUCUUUGUUAAAAAAAUAUGUCUUAGUUCAUGUUAGCUCAUUAAAUAACACAGAUGCAACUUUCAAUUUUAACAUUGUGUUAUUAAAUAUUGGAAUACCUCAGAUUAAUGAAUGUUCAGAAUAAUUUUUCAUUGGCAGUUUGUUAACUAAAGAAGCCCUAAUGUAAAGUGUGAAUGAACAAUAAAGAAUCAAAACACUUUCAAACAAUAUCUAGGGCAUGUUGUAGUCCAGAUUAAAAAAAAAAAAGUUUGAAAAUAAAUAGCCUAUUAAGUCUAAAUAUUUAAGUAUUUGGCUCUGUGAUGAACACCAUAGCAAAUCCACAAAUCUGAAUGGCUAUUAAAAAUUAUUUAAAUGUGGUUUAGAAAGUAGCAUCUGAUUUAUUUAUGGGGUUUACAGAAUGAGGGCUGCAUUUUAGCGC
rnacentral:lncRNA from 1 species